AUGAACGCUGGCGGCGUGCCUAAUACAUGCAAGUCGAGCGAACAGACGAGGAGCUUGCUCCUCUGACGUUAGCGGCGGACGGGUGAGUAACACGUGGAUAACCUACCUAUAAGACUGGGAUAACUUCGUGAAACCGGAGCUAAUACCGGAUAAUAUAUUGAACCGCAUGGUUCAAUAGUGAAAGACGGUUUUGCUGUCACUUAUAGAUGGAUCCGCGCCGCAUUAGCUAGUUGGUAAGGUAACGGCUUACCAAGGCAACGAUGCGUAGCCGACCUGAGAGGGUGAUCGGCCACACUGGAACUGAGACACGGUCCAGACUCCUACGGGAGGCAGCAGUAGGGAAUCUUCCGCAAUGGGCGAAAGCCUGACGGAGCAACGCCGCGUGAGUGAUGAAGGUCUUCGGAUCGUAAAACUCUGUUAUUAGGGAAGAACAAAUGUGUAAGUAACUAUGCACGUCUUGACGGUACCUAAUCAGAAAGCCACGGCUAACUACGUG
rnacentral:rRNA from 1 species